CCCUUAGAUGUCCUGGGCCGCACGCGCGCUACACUGAUGCAUGCAACGAGUUUAUAACCUUGGCCUGUAAGGUCUGGGUAAUCUUUUGAACGUGCAUCGUGAUAGGGAUAGAUUAUUGCAAUUGUUAAUCUUGAACGAGGAAUUCCUAGUAAACGCGAGUCAUCAGCUCGCAUUGAUUACGUCCCUGCCCUUUGUACACACCGCCCGUCGCACCUACCGAUUGAAUGGUUCGGUGAAGAUCUCGGACUUCGAUAUUUAUUCUUUAUUGAGUUUAUAUUGUGGGAAGUUAUCUAAACCUCAUCAUUUAGAGGAAGGUGAAGUCGUAACA
rnacentral:rRNA from 1 species